UACGAAGGGUGCAAGCGUUAAUCGGAAUUAUUGGGCGUAAAGGGCUCGUAGGCGGUUUGUCGCGUCGGGAGUGAAAACUCAGGGCUCAACCCUGAGCGUGCUUCCGAUACGGGCAGACUAGAGGUAUGCAGGGGAGAACGGAAUUCCUGGUGUAGCGGUGGAAUGCGCAGAUAUCAGGAGGAACACCGGUGGCGAAGGCGGGUCUCUGGGCAGUAACUGACGCUGAGGAGCGAAAGCGUGGGGAGCGAACAGG
rnacentral:rRNA from 1 species